rnacentral:rRNA from 1 species
GAGUUUGAUCCUGGCUCAGAUUGAACGCUGGCGGCAGGCCUAACACAUGCAAGUCGAGCGGAUGUAGCAAUACAUCAGCGGCAGACGGGAUAGUAACACGUGGGAACGUGCCCUUUGGUUCGGAAUAACUCGGCGAAAGCCGUGCUAAUACCGGAUAAGCCCUUACGGGGAAGAUUUAUCGCCAUUGGAGCGGCCCGCGUCUGAUUAGCUAGUUGGUGAGGUAAUGGCUCACCAAGGCGACGAUCAGUAGCUGGUCUGAGAGGAUGAUCAGCAUCACUGGGACUGAGACACGGCCCAGACUCCUACGGGAGGCAGCAGUGGGGAAUAUUGGACAAUGGGCGCAAGCCUGAUCCAGCCAUGCCGCGUGGAUGAUGAAGGCCUUAGGGUUGUAAAGUCCUUUUAACGGGGAAGAUAAUGACGGUACCCGUAGAAUAAGCCCCGGCUAACUUCGUGCCAGCCGCCGCGGUAAG